AGGGCAGGAAGUAAACAAUGGACCACCGUCUACCGUUGCAGACAGUCUGUAUUGUACUGAAAUAGACCCAAUAAAAGAAGGCAAUGAAGCCAAAUUGGCCAGAGGACGAAAAAAUAAUCCUGCUAGAGGAAUACAACAAAUGAAAAACUAUAUUGAAAAGCAAAUUUGGCUCACAUAUAAUGGUAAAACAAAGAAAUUGGGAGGAAAUCACUGCAAAAGUGCAAGACGUACGGUGGUGAGGUGGUGGCUAGCUACACGAAGUAGGCUACAACAAAGUUAGAAAAUCUAACGGUUAUGGCCAAGAAGGAGAUGUCCUGCCUUGGGAGUGAAUCAAAUGGAAAAGGGGGUGUCCUAGCUCCAGCUGCAAUGGUCGCUGACAUGCAUUGGACGCACCCAGUGAUGGGGAGUGCUGGUGGACAGGAUCUGCGCGUCCUAUCAGAAAGUGAGUCAGACCUUCGGCAGUGAGCCAGUCAAAGAAAUGAGUGAAGCGAUAGUGCCCGUCAUCCUGUCUAUCCUCCGCCAGCCCAGCGUAAAAGAGAGCGGAAAAGAACAACGACGAACCAUUGAAUCAACAGAGGACGUGUUGGCUCUCCAAUAAGAAGUUUUGCUGUAUCAGAGAUGUAGAAAUAGAUACAUUGCUUCAGAAAAUUAGAAAUAGAUAAAUUCGAAAUAGAAGUUACAUUGACAUUGACUGACGAGGUCCUUCCAUUUAAUAAAUACUAUUCGUCAUUAAAUGUGUAUUGCCAUUUCAUUUAUGACAUGCAAUCAAAUGAGUCGGACUGACUGUGAUUCAUAAUAGUGAUUUAAUCAUCUUCUGCAAUUUAGUUGUUGACCAUGGCGUAGCGCUCAGUGGAUAGCCUAGGCUUGCAGUACUGUAGCCUACGUCGUUCAUUGACUGCACGAGUUUUGCACAGACUGAA